GGACACACACCUCAGGACAAGAGACAGGAGGGACAGCAGGAGUACCUGCGUCAGCUGGAGCUCAUCAGACUGCAGUAUCAGCAGGAGAUGAGACAGAUGAGACAGAGAGCUGAAGUUCAGCCUCAGCAACAACACAAACACGAGACCUUUGUGGUGGAGAAACCCAGAGAGCCGAGAGCCUCACCUGCACAGG